UUGCAUGGCCGAUUGUCCCCUUGACUCU
rnacentral:piRNA from 1 species